CUCGAACGUAAGAUGACUGUAGGUGAAAGCUUUACAUCUCUUCGGAGCAUUUUACGAGGUGCUGCAUGGUUGUCGUCAGCUCGUGCCGUGAGGUGUCGGGUUAAGUCCCAUAACGAGCGCAACCCUACCUUAGUUGCCAUCAGGUAAUGCUGGGACUCUAAAGGAACUGCCUACGCAAGUAGUGAGGAAGGCGGGGAUGACGGUCAAAUCAGCACGGCCCUUACGUCCAGGGCUACACACGUGCUACAAUGGCCGAUACAGAGGGCAGCUACCUGGUGACAGGAUGCAAAUCUCCAAAAGUCGGUCUCAGUUCGGAUCGGAGUCUGCAACCCGACUCCGUGAAGUUGGAUUCGCUAGUAAUCGCGCAUCAGCCAUGGCGCGGUGAAUACGUUCCCGGGCCUU
rnacentral:rRNA from 1 species